UUGGCAAAGUUGGAAACAUCCCUUGUCAUUUGUCUUUUGCAGGUGGUAUGCAGGCCUUGACGUGGCAAGCUCUUGAUGACAGAGCGGGGUGGUCGAGCGCCCAAGGUGGUGCACGCAGCCUCGGAGGGGCGAAGCCGCAGGCCGAUGAGGAGUUUGAGAAGGCGCUGUGCGGGCCACCUUUGGAAUGGGAUGAGCAUUUGAGGU